UGCGUGGUUGUUUGCGUUUCCGAGCGUGGAAUUGGACGUUUCGCAUGACACGCUAGCAUGCCGGGCUGCUGUGUCUACAGUUGCCGCAACCGUACGACGGAUGGAAAGAAGUUCUUUUCUAUUCCUCGCGGUGAUCAUAACAUCAGCAGACGGAAAAUAUGGCUCCACAGAAUCGAGCGCAAGGAUUUCGUGUUCAGUGUUGUCAGUGUUGUUUUGCUACUUCAGUUGCACACAUUUGUUAUAUGUACAGGUACAUGUGACAUAUUUUUUAUCUCCAGUACCAGCUACACAUGCAGCAUUGCUGAACCGGAUCAAGCAGCUGGAAGUCCAACUUCAAGCUACCAAGCGUACGCUCAAGCUUGCACAGAAGCAAAGACGUCAAGCAGUUGCUGCCAGCAAUCGACUUGUUGCUGGGUUGAAGAAGUAUCUGAAUGAAGACCAAGUAAAGUGCCUACACAAACCUACCAUGAGGAGAAUCAAAUGGAGCAAAAAGACUGUGAUAAAGGCUUUAAAGAUGAGAC